GCCCAGACUCCUACGGGAGGCAGCAGUGGGGAAUAUUGCACAAUGGGGGGAACCCUGAUGCAGCGAUGCCGCGUGGAGGAAGAAGGUUUUCGGAUUGUAAACUCCUUUUAUCAGGGACGAUAAUGACGGUACCUGAAGAAAAAGCAUCGGCUAACUCCGUGCCAGCAGCCGCGGUAAUACGGAGGAUGCGAGCGUUAUCCGGAUUUAUUGGGUUUAAAGGGUGCGUAGGCGGAAUGCCAAGUCAGCGGUAAAAUCGCGGGGCUCACCCUCGCUCCGCCGUUGAAACUGGCGUUCUUGAGUGGGCGAGAAGUGUGCGGAAUGCGUGGUGUAGCGGUGAAAUGUAUAGAUAUCACGCAGAACUCCGAUUGCGAAGGCAGCAUACCGGCGCCCAACUGACGCUGAAGCACGAAAGCGUGGGUAUCGAACAGGAUUAGAUACCCUCGUA
rnacentral:rRNA from 1 species